CAUGAAAAAGAUAAGGCAAGGGGCGUCCAAGAGUUGGACGCCCCAUGGACUCCUUGUCGGACUAGGUCUCUUGACCUAGUCUACCAUAUAAAAAAAAAAAGGUGCCGUCCAUAUGAGAAAAAAAAAGUCAAAAAAAAUCAAAAGUCAAAAAAAUCAGUGGAUUUUUGAUAGAAAUAGCAGAGGAGAAAGAGGAUGGCAUGGGGGGUUUGAGAUGCCAAUAUCCUUGGAGAAGAGUCUUCUAUCAAGAGAUCAAAAGUUGAUGUCUUGUAGAAGCAAAAGGUAAGAGAAAAGAUUGUUUUCUUUUAUUGUUUUCUUUUCAGAUUAUUCUCUCUUUAUUUUUGUGUUUUUAUGUGAUAAAAAUCUGAGAGAGAAAGAGGGAUGGCGUGGUGAAUUUAUGCUCCAAUUAGUUAGGGCAUGGUGAUCUAAUUUUUGGACAUGAUCUGAUCAUGUUCUGAUGAGAGAAGAAGAAGAAAAGAAGGUCUUCUCUUAAGGUUUAUUUGAGAACCCUUCUUCUCCAUCAAUCAUGAGAUUUUUCUAUGAGAAAAAUCAAAUAUCAUAAGAUCUGGAAUUUUGAAAAAUAUCUAGAGAAGAAGGUCUCCUCAUGUCCUAGCAUAGAGAUGUUCUUAGGACAUCAAUCGUUGAUGACCUGAAAGAGAAGAACUGUCCUCUUAGGAUCUUUUCUAUUAUAUUUUAUUUCUGAUUUUAGGGAGAUCAAAAGGUUUGACUUCUCCCUCAUUCCUCCUCAUAUUCUUCAUCUCAUGGAAUGUCUAAGAGAUCCGAAGAAUAUUUUUUUGGAUUAACCAUCUGGAGGGAUCUGCAAGAAGCUAGCACUUCGAGCAGAUCUUCGUUCGACGAAUCUUCGAUUUUGUUGCAGUCUCGUGUGGAUCACCUGUAAAAGCCGGACGCGUGUGCGGCUCCAAAGGCAAC
rnacentral:lncRNA from 1 species